UGGGGAAUAUUGCGCAAUGGGCGCAAGCCUGAUCCAGCCAUGCCGCGUGUGUGAAGAAGGCCUUUUGGUUGUAAAGCACUUUAAGCGAGGAGGAGGCUACUUGGAUUAAUACUCUAGGAUAGUGGACGUUACUCGCAGAAUAAGCACCGGCUAACUCUGUGCCAGCAGCCGCGGUAAUACAGAGGGUGCGAGCGUUAAUCGGAUUUACUGGGCGUAAAGCGUGCGUAGGCGGCUUCUUAAGUCGGAUGUGAAAUCCCUGAGCUUAACUUAGGAAUUGCAUUCGAUACUGGGAAGCUAGAGUAUGGGAGAGGAUGGUAGAAUUCCAGGUGUAGCGGUGAAAUGCGUAGAGAUCUGGAGGAAUACCGAUGGCGAAGGCAGCCAUCUGGCCUAAUACUGACGCUGAGGUACGAAAGCAUGGGGAGCAAACAGG
rnacentral:rRNA from 1 species